rnacentral:misc_RNA from 1 species
AAAUGCGAUACGUAGUGUGAAUUGCAGAAUUCAGUGAAUCAUCGAAUCUUUGAACGCACAUUGCGCCCUUUGGUAUUCCAAAGGGCAUGCCUGUUCGAGCGUCAUUUGUACCCUCAAGCUUUGCUUGGUGUUGGGCGUCUUUUGUCUUUGGCCUCGCCCAAAGACUCGCCUUAAAACGAUUGGCAGCCGGCCUACUGGUUUCGCAGCGCAGCACAUUUUUGCGCUUGCAAUCAGCACAAGGACGGCAAUCCAUCAAGACUACAUUUUUACGUUUGACCUCGGAUCAGGUAGGGAUACCCGCUGAACUUAAGC